rnacentral:rRNA from 1 species
GACGAACGCUGGCGGCGCGCUUAACACAUGCAAGUCGAGCGAAGCGGCGGACGGGUGAGUAACACGUGAGUAACCUGCCUUUUAAACAGGGAUAGCCUCGGGAAACCGGUAUUACAACCUGAUGGUAAACGAUGGACUCGCGUCCCAUUAGCUAGUUGGUGAGGUAACGGCCCACCAAGGCAACGCUGGGUAGCCGGCGGGAGAGGCUGAACGGCCACAUUGGAACUGAGAAACGGUCCAAACUCUACGGGAGGCGGCAGUGGGGAAUAUUGCACAAUGGGGGAAACGCUGAUGCAGCGACGCCGCGUGAGCGAAGAAGGCCGUCGGGUCGUAAAGCUCUUUUAUAUGGGAAGCGGUACCAUAAGAAAAAGCCCCGGCUAACUACGUGCCAGCAGCCGCGGUAAUAC